rnacentral:tRNA from 1 species
GGGGCCUUAGCUCAGCUGGGAGAGCGCCUGCUUUGCACGCAGGAGGUCAGCGGUUCGAUCACGCUAGGCUCCA